CACGUAGGGGGCAAGCGUUGUCCGGAUUUAUUGGGCGUAAAGAGCUCGUAGGUGGUUCGGUAAGUCGGGUGUUAAACCCCCAGGCUCAACCUGGGGACGCCACUCGAUACUGCUGUGACUAGAGUCCGGUAGGGGAGCGUGGAAUUCCUGGUGUAGCGGUGAAAUGCGCAGAUAUCAGGAGGAACACCAGCGGCGAAGGCAGCUCGCUGGGACGGUACUGACGCUGAGGCGCGAAAGCGUGGGGAGCGAACAGG
rnacentral:rRNA from 1 species